CUGGCCGGUGGGAGAGCUGAGUUCGUCCACGGGCCUCUCCUCUUCCAGCUUUGCUCCUCCCAGCUUCGGAAAAGGCGGAGCAGGCGAAAUUCUGUGUUCCCAAAGACUGGAGACUUUGCCGGCUCCUGCUCAGUAGCGCAGGGUUUUGCUCUGUUGGCUAGGCUGGAAUGCAGUGGUUGGGUCAUGACCCACUGCAGCUGUUACUGGAAAGAGGUCCUGAUCCAGAUCCCAAGAGAGGGCUCUCGGUUAUCACCCAAGAAAAAAUAUAAGGGUGAGGCUAUUUAGCCAUCUGAAAUCGGAUUCCUCAGCAACCUCACCACACUCGGGACUGUGGAGACUGCUCUGCGCUCUCAGGAAACUACUGUCUUAAGUUCUGCAGGCUGUACAGCAAUAAUGAUUCUGGCUUCUACUUCUGCUGAAGGCCUCAGGCUGCUUCCACUCAUGGUAGAAGGAACUGGCAUGUCACAUGGUGGAAGUACAAGAAUCCACCUGGAGACUCACUGAGGCAAAAGGGCCAACCAUGGGAAAGAGCGGAUGGGGCUCAGGUGGGUACUGCACAUGAUUCCGGGGGCUGCUGGUCCUUCCGAGGCAGGGCUGCUGUACAGCUGUGAUCUGAGGAGGUGAGUCACUAUGGGGAGGAAUUCAAGCGCCCUUCCCCCACAUCCCCUCAAUCCUGAACCUCUGGGAGAAACUAGCCUUGACCAAACCCAUAAGUCCCCAAGACAUAUGUGGGUAGCAGUGGAGUGAGCAGAGUGAUGAGAACCUUGAGCAGCAGGAAGCAAAGCACAGCCAUUAAAGGCGUGAGCCUUCGGAGGCAGCCAGAGCUGGGGCUACUCUCAGCUUCCACCAAGUACAAACCAUGCGACCCCAGAAGAGUCAUUUGAGCAGUCUGAGCCUGGGAUUCCUCCCCCUCUAAAGCGGGGCCCAUGGUAUCCACGGGGACUUUUGCAGGGAGUUGUCAGCUGAGCUGUGUCUCAUUCCUCAAAAUUAUUUGACAAAGCCUGGUAGCCCAUCCACUGAGCCAGAAGCUUUUGAGCUGCUGUAAAGCAAUGUCCUCCAAUGCAGUGGCCAAAACUAAAGAAACUCAUAACGUUUCUCUGUCACCUGCAUCACAUUUCAAGUGUUUAAUGUGGCUACCCUUGUAGACAGUACGGAAAACAAAUAUGGCUAUGAUUGCAGAUAGCUCUCUGACUGCACUGCUCUGGAGAUGUUGGGGAGCCCUGGAGGACGCCCGCAUGCUUCUGCAGGGCCCUCAGGGCCUCCAUCCCCUCGCCUCUUUGGAAGAGCAGCUCUGAUAUUGUCUACUCUCAACCGUGUGCUUGGAGAGAUCAUAUUUUCCUUGCCGAAAGGGAAAGUUUGAAGACUUCUGUUUUUAUUUGACUUCAAUGUAUUUAUUUGACAUUAGGGGAACAGAGGCCCAAGGAGGGCCAGCGAGCCUCACAUGGUGUCAGUGAAACAGUUCUAAACAGGCCUCGGAAUUCAGAUUCUCCUGGGAGCCGGUCCACUGGCUGCUUUCCACAUUGACUGCCCUUGUUUUGAGAUCCCAUCCCUGCUCCAGGUCUUUCCCGAGAGGACAGCAGACACCACCUCCACAGGAAGAUGUCAGGGAGAUCUGGGGGGUCUGUCUCAUGGGGCCAACCCCAAAUCUCCACUUUGCUGCAUUUGUGGCUGUGGUGACUGUGCCUGUGGGGCUCAGUGCCAUGGGCUUCACCUCAGGAGGAAUCACUGCGUCCUCCAUGGCAGCCCAGAUGAUGGAGGGGGUGGAGUUGCCGCGGGCAGUGUGAUGGCUACUCUGCAGUCAGUGGGGGCAGCUGGACUCUCCGUGACAUCUGGAGUCAUCCUGAGCUCUGCUGGGUCAGGUCUUGGAGCCUGGCUGGGUUGCUUUUGCACCCUCAGCUGAAUACUGCACUGAAGCAGGGAGGUGACUCUCUUGAUGGAGAUGACUCUCCUGGGCCUCUGAAGGACAGUCUUCAAAGGACAAGUCCCCUACUGCCAAAAUCAUCCAAGGAAGCAUGAAAAAUAAAGACAAGAGGCUGCUGAUCUUCUCCUAGCAUCAGUUCCCUGUUCUUGUGGUCAGGAUAGAGCACAGCGCUGCAGCAGGAGUGCUGGGCAGGGAGGGACUCAAGAGGAAGGAGCAUGGGAUGUCCGUGACCAGAGCCAGUCUGACUCCAGGCUUUCCACUCACUCUGUGGUCCUGAGCAGGUCAUGUCUGCCCUUUGAGCCUCAGUUUGCUGCUCUUCAGAUCAGGGAGGCAGCCAGAGUCAGCGUUAUAGGAUGGUGUGGCUCUUGGGUCAGUGCUUGAGCCAUUGAUGCUCAAUUACGAAGCCCUUUGUCCCCAUGCCUGACUGAUCCCUUCCUUUUCCACCCAGGACUCAGGGGGUGGCUGUAUGAUUACUCUAGAAGUUGAACAACACUGCAUUUGCCUGGCCGAUGGGCCUUCUCCAUACAGAUAGAAAAGUUUCAUUCCUCCAGGGAACUCUGUCCCUCUCGGCACAGAGCCCAGGCUCCUCAGCCCUCAGAUGGACUGAGCAGAGCCUGUGAGGAUGGGCAAGGGGCUGGGAUUCCUGAGAAGUAGGCCGAUGCAGAACACCCAUUUCCAGAGACCUACUAUGUGCCUGGCACCUGAUUUGGGACCUACUGUGUGCCUGGCCCCAGAUCAGGUACCAGGUGUCCUAUGCACACUAUGCACGCUGACCUGUUGUCUGCCACCCGGCACCUGCUUGGCCGUUAGAAUAAGCCACAGUUGACUUCUGGAAAGCCUGUUAAGACUUGGCCUCUGAUCUCAACCUCGGUCCCACUCUGGGCUGUUUGACCUUCACACUUAUUAUUCCUUUAAAGCUGUAUUCCCAUAGGGCUCUCUCUGGGAUGCUGACUGAGCUGACUCCCACAGCUCCCAACUGGCCUCAAGGGCUCCAUCCCACAUGAUCCCCCUGGCUGCAGAGGAUCACAGAGAUCCAUCUCUGCCCUGGGUGCACAAUGUUGGGGAAGCCAGCCCUUAACCAAUGAUGUUAAGGGACUUGGGGUAAAUUACAGAAAUGACCACAUUCUCCUCCCUUUCAGCAUGGCUGUACAGCUCCUCCCAUCAAGAAGUAGGAGUUUCUUUCCCUUCCCUUUGAAUCUCCUCUGGCCCGGGGAGUUGCUCUGGCGGAUAGAACGCAGUGGAAGUGAUGGCAUGCUAAUCUUGAGCCUAGUCCCUAAGAAACCCGGCAGCCUUCUGCUGCAACGCCUGGUCCCCAUCACUGCUAUGAGAACAAGUCAGGCUGGACAAGCACACAAGGCCCAUUCAUUCCAGACAAGGCCCCAGACAUGGGAACGAGCCCAGGUGAGAUCUGCGAAAGCCGACCUGCAGCUGCCUGCAGAUGGUUGAGGGACGCAGCUGAGACCAGAAGAACCACCUGCCUAGAUUGCUGACCCACAGAAUCAUGAGCUACAUAACUCUUUUAAGCCACUAAAUAGUGUGGUCACUUUUUAUCCAGCCACAGGUAACACAGCAUAAGACAAUGUGUACAGUCCCUGAAGAGGAUCAGCCUAUAUGGCUCAUAGGACAGAGAAGGCAGAGGUUGAUUCUAAUUGUAGCUACCUGAAAAGACUUCCUGGAGUAAGUGCUGUGUUACUUAAAGAUUAUGUAGUUGUAAGUACUAGAAAUUUGACAGCACCUUGCUCAGAGUUCAAGGGAUUUCAUUGAUUUACCAAAUGAAAAAGUCCAAAGGGAAAGUAUGUUUCAGGCAAGAUUUGAUUCAGCAGCACAACGUGGAUGUCAAAGACCUGUCUUCUGUUCUUCAUUUCUGAGGCAUCAGCUACAUCCGGUGCCUGCCAGCUCUCUCAGUUACAAGGCAGCUGUUAGCAGGCUCUGGAAGCUACCUUCUUUAUUCAUGUCUCCCAGAAAGAACCUUUUUUCAUGCACUUUCUCCUGAAAAGCAAAGAAACGUCUUUCCCAAAUACCUCUAGUAAAUGUUAAUGCUGCUAUCUUAAA